GACGAACGCUGGCGGCGUGCCUAAUACAUGCAAGUUGAGCGAUGAAGCUUGGUGCUUGCACCAAUUUGAAGAGCAGCGAACGGGUGAGUAACGCGUGGGGAAUCUGCCUUUGAGCGGGGGACAACAUUUGGAAACGAAUGCUAAUACCGCAUAACAACUUUAAACAUAAGUUUUAAGUUUGAAAGAUGCAAUUGCAUCACUCAAAGAUGAUCCCGCGUUGUAUUAGCUAGUUGGUGAGGUAAAGGCUCACCAAGGCGAUGAUACAUAGCCGACCUGAGAGGGGUGUCGGCCACAAUGGGAAUGAGACCCGGCCCAAACUCCUACGGGAGGCAGCAGGAGGGAAUCUUCGGGAAUGGGCGAAAGGCUGACCGAGCAACGCCGCGUGAGUGAAGAAGGGUUUCGGAUCGGAAAACUCUGUUGGUAGGGAAGAACGUUGGUGGGAGUGGAAAGCUCAUCAAGUGACGGUAACUACCCAGAAAGGGACGGCUAACUACGUG
rnacentral:rRNA from 1 species